UCACCAAUAAAAAAAGGCUUUGGAUAUCUGCGUGAAGGCCAAAGGUUCAAAUCUCGGUCGUGAUCGUUGUAUCAUGGGUAUAACGGGUGUUAUUGUGGGUGUCACGAUCAAAUAAUAGCCUUUUCAGAUGACACUACUACCGUUAUAUCGUUGGCGCUAUCGCGAUCACAUACCGCCAUUUAAAUCCCUGGUUAAGGCUGCUGCUGGUGCCCCUGAUGUUCUUGGAGAUUGUCCUUUUUGCCAAAGGAUUCUUCUUACUUUGGAGGAAAAGAAGGUUCCUUACAAGUUGCACCUUGUCAAUCUCAGUGACAAACCCCAAUGGUUUUAGGAGACAAGUCCGGAAGGAAAGGUACCAGUGAAGUUUGAUGACAAAUGGAUGGCUGAUUCUGAUGUAAUUGUUGGAAUUCUUGAAGACAAGUUUCCUGAGCCUUCUCUCAAAACACCACCAGAAUCUGCCUCUGUGUAUGCAGUUUCUCACCUUAUAUUCUCUUUAAUUUCAUCUAUGAUUAUCCCUUUGUGUACUGUGAGCUUUGAUUUUUGUCGAUGGGAAUAAGUUUCGCUCGUCUGCAUUGGUGAUUCACCCCUUCUAGUUUGGGUGGAAAGUCACGACCGAUUUGGAGCUCUCGUCACAUUUUGAAGAGCAAAUAUGCAAAUGACGGAUCCGAGCAGGCUUUGGUUGAUGAACUGAAGGCGUUGGAUGAACAUCUUAAGGGACGUGUAAGUGAUGAUAAAUUGGACGUUCCUUUAACCGUUGCAUCUUUUGUCAUGCGAGUCUUCUUGAUUUUUCGAGCUAUAUGAUAUAUGAAUCAUGGUCCGUUCAUUGCCGGCGAAAAAGAUUACCGCUGCCGAUUUAGCUUUGGGACCAAAGCUAUACCAUCUUCAGAUCGCUCUCGGCCAUUUCAAGAAGUGGACUGUACCUGAAAGCUUGACUUCCGUCCA